rnacentral:tRNA from 3 species
CCCCUUGUGGUGUAGUUGGCUAUCACGUUCGGCUGUAAAUGCAAUUUAUCGAUACCGAAAGGUCACCGGCUCGAUUCCGGUCGAGGGGA